rnacentral:rRNA from 1 species
UACGUAGGCGGCAAGCGUUGUUCGGAUUUAUUGGGCGUAAAGGGCUUGUAGGUGGUUUGUAAGUGUGAGUUGAAAGACCGGGGCUUAACCCCGAGUUUGGCUUGCAAACUGCAUAACUGGAGUGUAGAAGGGGAUGUUGGAAUUCCGCGUGUAGGGGUGAAAUCUGUAGAUAUGCGGAAGAAUACCAGUGGCGAAGGCGAACAUCUGGUCUAUAACUGACACUGAGAAGCGAAAGUGUGGGGAGCAAACA